rnacentral:misc_RNA from 1 species
UCCGUGUUAACCACGGCAGUCUCUCUAGAGAGCCCAACUGAAUGCUGGCAACUAAAGAUAAGGGUUGCGCUCGUUGCGGGACUUAACCCAACAUGUCACCACACGAGCUGACGACAGCCAUGCAGCACCUGUCACCCGGCAGUAUUGCUACUGAAGCCCUAUUUCUAGGGUUGUCCGGGGAUGUCAAACCCAGGUAAGGUUUUUCGCGUUGCUUCGAAUUAAACCACAUGAUCCACCGCUUGUGCGGGCCCCCGUCAAUUCCUUUGAGUUUUAGUCUUGCGACCGUACUUCCCAGGCGGGGUACUUAGUGCGUUAGCGCCGCUUCGGCGGGGGUCAAGACCCACCAAAGCUAGUACCCAUCGUUUACGGCGUGGACUAC